rnacentral:rRNA from 1 species
UAGGGAAUCUUCGGCAAUGGACGGAAGUCUGACCGAGCAACGCCGCGUGAGUGAAGAAGGUUUUCGGAUCGUAAAGCUCUGUUGUAAGAGAAGAACGAGUGUGAGAGUGGAAAGUUCACACUGUGACGGUAUCUUACCAGAAAGGGACGGCUAACUACGUGCCAGCAGCCGCGGUAAUACGUAGGUCCCGAGCGUUGUCCGGAUUUAUUGGGCGUAAAGCGAGCGCAGGCGGUUAGAUAAGUCUGAAGUUAAAGGCUGUGGCCUAACCAUAGUACGCUUUGGAAACUGUUUAACUUGAGUGCAAGAGGGGAGAGUGGAAUUCCAUGUGUAGCGGUGAAAUGCGUAGAUAUAUGGAGGAACACCGGUGGCGAAAGCGGCUCUCUGGCUUGUAACUGACGCUGAGGCUCGAAAGCGUGGGGAGCAAACAGGAUUAGAUACCCUGGUAGUCCACGCCGUAACGAUGAGUGCUAGGUGUUAGACCCUUUCCGGGGUUUAGUGUCGCAGCUAACGCAUUAAGCACUCCGCCUGGGGAGUACGACCGCAAGGUU